rnacentral:rRNA from 1 species
ACUCCUACGGGAGGCAGCAGUGGGGAAUUUUGGACAAUGGGCGAAAGCCUGAUCCAGCAAUGCCGCGUGUGUGAAGAAGGCCUUCGGGUUGUAAAGCACUUUUGUCCGGAAAGAAAUCCUUGGCUCUAAUACAGCCGGGGAUGACGGUACCGGAAGAAUAAGCACCGGCUAACUACGUGCCAGCAGCCGCGGUAAUACGUAGGGUGCAAGCGUUAAUCGGAAUUACUGGGCGUAAAGCGUGCGCAGGCGGUUUGCUAAGACCGAUGUGAAAUCCCCGGGCUCAACCUGGGAACUGCAUUGGUGACUGGCAGGCUAGAGUAUGGCAGAGGGGGUAGAAUUCCACGUGUAGCAGUGAAAUGCGUAGANAUGUGGAGGAAUACCGAUGGCGAAGGCAGCCCCCUGGGCCAAUACUGACGCUCAGAUGCGAAAGCGUGGGGAGCAAACAGGAUUAGAUACCCUGGUAGCGUCGUCU